ACUAACCCAGUAGUGCUAAGUGUCUGAAUCCCACUGACGGAUCCCUUCGGGGUGAAGCGUUGGGCCUAGCGCACGACCCCAUGCUGGUGCGGUUAGCGUAUUAACAGGUGUGACGCAGGAAGGUAGCCGGUCCUCGGCGAUGGUAGUCCGAGGCCAAGUGUGUAGGCCGAGAGAUAGGCAAAUCCGUCUCUCAUGAAGGCUGAGACACGAAGGGGAGCUGUAACAGGCAAGAUCCGGUGAUCCUAUGCUGCCAAGAAAAGCAUCGACGCGAGGUUCUAGUGGCCCGUACCCCAAACCGACUCAGGUGGUCAGGUAGAGAAUACCAAGGAGAUCGAGAGAAUCGUGGUUAAGGAACUCGGCAAAAUGCCCCCGUAACUUCGGGAGAAGGGGGGCCUUCGGCGUAUAGGGACUUGCUCCCAAAAGCGUUUGGAGGCCGCAGAGACUAGUGGGUAGCGACUGUUUACUAAAAACACAGGUCCGUGCGAAGUCGUAAGACGAUGUAUACGGACUGACGCCUGCCCGGUGCUGGAAGGUUAAGAGGACCGGUUAGUUCCUUCGGGAGCGAAGCUGAGAAUUUAAGCCCCAGUAAACGGCGGUGGUAACUAUAACCAUCCUAAGGUAGCGAAAUUCCUUGUCGGGUAAGUUCCGACCUGCACGAAUGGCGUAACGACUUCCCAGCUGUCUCAACCGCGAACUCGGCGAAAUUGCACUACGAGUAAAGAUGCUCGUUACGCGCAGCAGGACGGAAAGACCCCGUGACCUUUACUAUAGCUUUGUAUUGGUGUUCGGAGCGGCUUGUGUAGGAUAGGUGGGAGACUUUGAAGCGGACACGCCAGUGUUCGUGGAGUCAUUGUUGAAAUACCACUCUGGUCGCUUUGGAUAUCUAACUUCGAACCGUAAUCCGGUUCAGGGACAGUGCAUGGUGGGUAGUUUAACUGGGGCGGUUGCCUCCCAAAAAGUAACGGAGGCGCCCAAAGGUUCCCUCAGCCUGGUUGGCAAUCAGGUGUCGAGUGUAAGUGCACAAGGGAGCUUGACUGUGAGACUGACAGGUCGAGCAGGGACGAAAGUCGGGACUAGUGAUCCGGCAGUGGCUUGUGGAAGCGCUGUCGCUCAACGGAUAAAAGGUACCUCGGGGAUAACAGGCUGAUCUUGCCCAAGAGUCCAUAUCGACGGCAUGGUUUGGCACCUCGAUGUCGGCUCGUCGCAUCCUGGGGCUGGAGUAGGUCCCAAGGGUUGGGCUGUUCGCCCAUUAAAGCGGUACGCGAGCUGGGUUUAGAACGUCGUGAGACAGUUCGGUCCCUAUCCGCCACGCGCGCAGGAGUCUUGAGGAAACCUGUCCCUAGUACGAGAGGACCGGGACGGACGAACCUCUGGUGUGCCAGUUGUCCUGCCAAGGGCACGGCUGGUUAGCUACGUUCGGAAGGGAUAACCGCUGAAAGCAUCUAAGCGGGAAGCCUGUUCCAAGAUGAGGUUUCUCACCCCCUCGAGGGGGUAAGGCCCCCGGCAGACCACCGGGUUGAUAGGCCAGAACUGGAAGUGCAGUAAUGCAUGCAGGUGACUGGUACUAAUAGGCCGAGGACUUACCACA
rnacentral:rRNA from 1 species